AUUAAGAAGCCGUGUUCGCUCCUUUCUGCUUGUCGGCACAGUUUCACAAAGCCCCUGACUCUGUGACUACAGACAGACGUGCAGCCCUCCGGAAAGAUGCUUUGAAGGCAGCACAGUAGAGAGCCUGAGGCCCCCCAUGUCUCUUGGCUGAGUCACUACAUUUCUUUUCCUCUUCUUUUUUUUUUUGUUUGAGAGAGGGUCUUGCUCUUGUUGCCCAGGCUGGAGUGCCGUGGCGCGAUCUCAGCUCACUGCAACCUCUGCCUCCCGGGUUCAAGCAAUUCUCCUGCCUCAGUCUCCCGAGUAGCUGGGACUACAGGCACAUGCCUGGCUAUUUUUAGUAGAGAAGAGGUUUCACCUUGUUGGCCAGGCUGGUCUCGAACACCUGACCUAAAGUGAUCCACCCUCCUCGGCCUCCCAAACAGACGUGAUUACAGACGUGAGCCACUGCGCCCGGCUUGAGUCUUCACGUUUCUUAAAAGAGAAACGAUCCUAGUCCCUGGCUUUUCCGACACAGAACAUUUCCAAGAUGGCAUCUGACGAGCACUGCGGCGGCCGAAGUCCAUCCAUCCAUAGGCUUCUUCUUCUUCCUCCAGCCAUGGUCCCUGCUUCUUGGACGGGUCUGAGGAGCUAGAGGCAGAAGAGAUGUGGCUGAAGGUCAGGUUGGAGAGCUGGAGUUAUGAGGACUCCACAAGCAAUUGCUGGUCUGAAGAUGGCAGGAGGGCAACAGGACGAGGAAAGCAGUGACCUUGAGGAGCUGAGAGGUUCUCCACCGACAGCCAAGAAAGAGGAACGUCAGCCCCACAACUACAAAGAAUGAAAUCUGGCCAACAACCUGGAUGAGCUUGGAAGUGGAUUAAUCCCUGGAGCCUCCGGAAAGAAAUGCAGCCCUGCCGACCUGAUUGUGGCCUUGGGAGAUCCUAAUCAGGGGACCCUGUGAGCCGCUCUGUACCAGGACUUCUGACCUACAGAACCGCGAGAGAAUAAAUUGCUGUUGUUUUAAGCUUCU